rnacentral:rRNA from 1 species
AGCAUAUCAAUAAGCGGAGGAAAAGAAACCAACAGGGAUUGCCUCAGUAACGGCGAGUGAAGCGGCAACGGCUCAGAUUUGGAAUCUGGCCCCGCCCAGGGGUCCGAGUUGUAGUCUGGAGAGGAUGCUUCGGGAUUGAUCUGGGUCUAAGUCCCUUGGAAGAGGGUGUCAGAGAGGGUGAGAGUCCCGUCUGGCCCGGACCGAUUCCAUGGGUGAAGCUCCCUCGACGAGUCGAGUUGUUUGGGAAUGCAGCUCAAACUGGGUGGUAAAUCUCAUCUAAAGCUAAAUACCCGCCGGAGACCGAUAGCGCACAAGUAGAGUGAUCGAAAGAUGAAAAGCACUUUGAAAAGAGAGUUAAACAGCACGUGAAAUUGUUGAAAGGGAAGCGCUCGCGAUCAGACUUGCCCGCGGUCCCUCAGCUGACGGUCCCCCGUCGGUCCACUGGGCUUCGGGCAGGCCAGCAUCGGUCCAGGGGGUGGAAGAAUGACCAUGGGAAUGUGGCUCCCUUCGGGGUGUGUUAUAGCCCAAGGUACGGCGCCGCCCCCUCGACCGAGGCCUGCGCUCCGGCAAGGAUGCUGGCGUAAUGGUCGCCAGCGACCCGUCUUGAAACACGGACCAAGGAGUCUAACGUCCACGCGAGUGUUUGGGUGUCAAACCCCGACGCGCAAUGAAAGUGAACGGAGGUGGGAACCCGCAGGGGUGCACCAUCGACCGAUCCGGAAGUCUUCUGAUGGAUUUGAGUACGAGCGUGGCCGUUGGGACCCGAAAGAUGGUGAACUAUGCCUGAAUAGGGUGAAGCCAGAGGAAACUCUGGUGGAGGCUCGCAGCGGUUCUGACGUGCAAAUCGAUCGUCAAAUUUGGGUAUAGGGGCGAAAGACUAAUCGAACCAUCUAGUAGCUGGUUCCUGCCGAAGUUUCCCUCAGGAUAGCAGUAACGCGUGGCAGUUUUAUGAGGUAAAGCGAAUGAUUAGAGGCCUUGGGGUUGAAACAACCUUAACCUAUUCUCAAACUUUGAAUAUGUAAGAAGUCCUUGUUGCUUAGUUGAACGUGGACAUUCGAAUGUACCGUUACUAGUGGGCCAUUUUUGGUAAGCAGAACUGGCGAUGCGGGAUGAACCGAACGCGGGGUUAAGGUGCCGGAAUGCACGCUCAUCAGACACCACAAAAGGUGUUGGUUCAUCUGGACAGCAGGACGGUGGCCAUGGAAGUCGGAACCCGCUAAGGAGUGUGUAACAACUCACCUGCCGAAUGAACUAGCCCUGAAAAUGGAUGGCGCUCAAGCGUGCUACCCAUACCCCGCCGCCGGGGUAGAAACGAUGCCCCGGCGAGUAGGCAGGCGUGGGGGUCCGUGACGAAGCCUCGGGAGCGAUCUCGGGUCGAACGGCCUCUAGUGCAGAUCUUGGUGGUAGUA